rnacentral:rRNA from 1 species
CCUACGGGUGGCAGCAGUGGGGGAUAUUGGACAAUGGGGGAAACCCUGAUCCAGCGACGCCGCGUGAGUGAAGAAGUAUUUCGGUAUGUAAAGCUCUGUCAGCAGGGAAGAAAGAAAUGACGGUACCUGACCAAGAAGCCCCGGCUAACUACGUGCCAGCAGCCGCGGUAAUACGUAGGGGGCAAGCGUUAUCCGGAUUCACUGGGUGUAAAGGGAGCGUAGACGGCCAUGCAAGCCAGGGGUGAAAGCCCGGGGCCCAACCCCGGGACUGCCCUUGGAACUGCAUGGCUGGAGUGCGGGGGGGGCAGGCGGAAUUCCUGGUGUAGCGGUGAAAUGCGUAGAUAUCAGGAGGAACACCGGCGGCGAAGGCGGCCUGCUGGACUGCGACUGACGUUGAGGCUCGAAAGCGUGGGGAGCGAACAGGAUUAGAUACCCGGGUAGUC